rnacentral:rRNA from 1 species
CCUACGGGUGGCAGCAGUGGGGAAUAUUGGGCAAUGGGCGCAAGCCUGACCCAGCAACGCAGCGUGAAGGAAGAAGGCUCUCGGGUUGUAAACUUCUUUUCUCAGGGACGAAGAAAGUGACGGUACCUGAGGAAUAAGCCACGGCUAACUAUGUGCAAGCAGCCGCGGUAAGACGGAGGUGGCAAGCGUUAUCCGGAUUUACUGGGUGUAAAGGUCGUGUAGGCGGGACGGCAAGUCAGAUGUGAAAACCACGGGCUCAACCGGUAGCCUGCAUUUGAAACUGUAGUUCUUGAGUACUGGAGAGGCAGACGGAAUGCGUAGUGUAGCGGUGAAAUGCGUAGAUAUUAGGAGGAACACCAGUGGCGAAGGCAGCUUGCUGGACAGCAACUGACGCUGAGGCGCGAAAGCGUGGGGAGCAAACAGGAUUAGAUACCCGGGUAGUC